CUUCCGUCAGAGGAGAAGACUGAAAAUAAUAACGGGAAAGAUGAGAAGAAGGCUACCUUUAUUCUGGAGGAUUUGCAACACCAGCAGAUUUACGUUACUCUGUGGGGGGUUUAUGCUGAUCAGAUUAUUGAAUUUCAAAGAGAACAUAAGGAUGAAAAAAAUGUUGUUGUGGUUGUUCAGUUUGGCAAGUACCGUUUUUGGGGAGGAAAUUUGUUCGUAUCCAAUUUGUAUACUGUAACUCGAGUGUUCAUAAACACUGAAAU